rnacentral:rRNA from 1 species
GAUGAACGCUGGCGGCGUGCCUAAUACAUGCCAGUCGAGCGAACAGACGAGGAGCUUGCUCCUCUGACGUUAGCGGCGGACGGGUGAGUAACACGUGGAUAACCUACCUAUAAGACUGGGAUAACUUCGGGAAACCGGAGCUAAUACCGGAUAAUAUAUUGAACCGCAUGGUUCAAUAGUGAAAGACGGUUUUGCUGUCACUUAUAGAUGGAUCCGCGCCGCAUUAGCUAGUUGGUAAGGUAACGGCUUACCAAGGCAACGAUGCGUAGCCGACCUGAGAGGGUGAUCGGCCACACUGGAACUGAGACACGGUCCAGACUCCUACGGGAGGCAGCAGUAGGGAAUCUUCCGCAAUGGGCGAAAGCUUGUCGGAGCAACGCCGCGUGAGUGAUGAAGGUCUUCGGAUCGUAAAACUCUGUUAUUAGGGAAGAACAAAUGUGUAAGUAACUAUGCACGUCUUGACGGUACCUAAUCAGAAAGCCACGGCUAACUACGUG